rnacentral:rRNA from 1 species
GACGAACGCUGGCGGCGUGCUUAACACAUGCAAGUCGAACGAAGAGCGACGGAAGCUUGCUUCUAUCAAUCUUAGUGGCGAACGGGUGAGUAACGCGUAAUCAACCUGCCCUUCAGAGGGGGACAACAGUUGGAAACGACUGCUAAUACCGCAUACGAUCUAACCUCGGCAUCGAGGAUAGAUGAAAGGUGGCCUCUACAUGUAAGCUAUCGCUGAAGGAGGGGAUUGCGUCUGAUUAGCUAGUUGGAGGGGUAACGGCCCACCAAGGCGAUGAUCAGUAGCCGGUCUGAGAGGAUGAACGGCCACAUUGGGACUGAGACACGGCCCAGACUCCUACGGGAGGCAGCAGUGGGGAAUCUUCCGCAAUGGACGAAAGUCUGACGGAGCAACGCCGCGUGAGUGAUGACGGCCUUCGGGUUGUAAAGCUCUGUUAAUCGGGACGAAAGGCCUUCUUGCGAAUAGGGAGAAGGAUUGACGGUACCGGAAUAGAAAGCCACGGCUAACUACGUG